UCGUAGUCGGAUGUCGGGCUCGGGGAGAUUGUCGGCCUUUGGUCGGAUAGUUUCUCCGGGCCUUUCUGCCUGGGAACCCUAUUCUACUUAACUGUAGGGUAGUGGGACGCAGGCCGUUUACUUUGAAAAAAUUAGAGUGUUCAAAGCAGGCCUACGCUUGAAUACAUUAGCAUGGAAUAAUGGAAUAGGACUUUGGUCUUAUUUGUUGGUUUAUGGGACCGAAGUAAUGAUUAACAGGGACAGUUGGGGCCGUUUAUAUUUCGUUGUCAGAGGUGAAAUUCUUGGAUUUACGAAAGAUAAACUUCUGCGAAAGCAUUCGGCAAGGAUGUUUUCAUUGAUCAAGAACGAAAGUUAGGGGAUCGAAGACGAUCAGAUACCGUCGUAGUCUUAACCAUAAACUAUGCCGACUAGGGAUCAGUGGAUGUCAAUUUGCGACUCCAUUGGCACCUUGUGAGAAAUCAAAGUUUUUGGGUUCCGGGGGGAGUAUGGUCGCAAGGCUGAAACUUAAAGGAAUUGACGGAAGGGCACCACCAGGAGUGGAGCCUGCGGCUUAAUUUGACUCAACACGGGGAAACUUACCAGGUCCAGACAUAGUAAGGAUUGACAGAUUGAAAGCUCUUUCUUGAUUCUAUGGGUGGUGGUGCAUGG
rnacentral:rRNA from 1 species